rnacentral:rRNA from 1 species
CUACGUAGGUGACAAGCGUUAUCCGGAUUUACUGGGCGUAAAGGGCGUGUAGGCGGUCUUGCAAGUCAGAAGUGAAAUUCCUGAGCUCAACUCGGGCGCUGCUUCUGAAACUGCAGGACUUGAGUGCUGGAGGGGAUAGCGGAAUUCCUAGUGGAGCGGUAAAAUGCGCAGAUAUUAGGAAGAACACCGGUGGCGAAGGCGGAUAUCUGGACAGUAACUGAAGCUGAGACGCGAAAGCGUGGGGAGCAAACAGGAUGAGAUCCCCGGGUAGUCCACGCUGUAAGCGAUGAAUACUAGGUGUAGGAGGUAUCGACUCCUCCUGUGCCGCAGCUAACGCAAUAAGUAUUCCCCCUGGGGAGUACGGCCGCAAGGUUGAAACUCAAAGGAAUUGACGGGG